rnacentral:rRNA from 1 species
UACGAAGGGGGCGAGCGUUGUUCGGAAUCACUGGGCUUAAAGGGCGCGUAGGCGGGCGGUCAAGUCAGAGGUGAAAUCCCACGGCUCAACCGUGGAAGCGCCCCUGAUACUGAUCGUCUCGAGGGAGGUAGGGGCGUGCGGAACUUCCGGUGGAGCGGUGAAAUGCGUAGAUAUCGGAAGGAACACCGGUGGCGAAAGCGGCGCGCUGGACCUUUACUGACGCUGAGGCGCGAAAGCCCAGGGGAGCAAACGGGG